rnacentral:lncRNA from 1 species
UGAACGGAAGAGUUCAUGGCAUAGCUAGUUUCGCCUGCGCCUUUGUUCAUGUGAAAGAGUUCCAAGGUUUCCAUUUCUUUCCUUGUGGCUGUUUGCAUGGUAAGUGAGUUGAAGUUGAAGGUGCAAGUGAGUUGAAGUUGAAGGUGCGACGAAAAGGAAAAAAUGGCUCCUUGAACGAGGGAAAAGGAAGAGGUAUAUGUGUAUAAAUAAUAGAGGGUCAUGGAAACUUGACCAAGAAAAGAAUGACAACCACAGAAAUAGAUAGAGAUGACAACAAUUUCUGCUUAUACCAGAAUAUCAC